CAUAUUACUUAAUUCAUACAAACCUAACAAGUCAAUGAGGGUCCUCCUACACUGCCUGGUCGCUGCCAACAGCCUCAGCUGGCUUGACUUUUAAUGUGCUCUUAGCCACUGUCAUCUAAACUGUAGAUUCAUAUCCUUGGUCAAGCUAAUUCUGCCUCAUUUAUGAAGAAUGUGGAUCCUGCAACUGGUGCUAACCGUCUGGUGAAGUGACAAUGCAAGGCCAGAUUACCACAAAAGACAUGCAGCUUCUGUGUCAUACAGGAUACCUUAACUUAGCGGUACAGUGUGAGCCUUGAAAGGUCCACUAUAUUAAGAGACUUCAGAGGAAAGCACAGGUGAUGGUGAAGAAGAUGGUAAUGAUGAUCAAACCAGAAAUUGGUGG